rnacentral:rRNA from 1 species
AGCGUUCGUAGCCGGAUAAGGCAGUCUUGGGUGAAAUCGUUGAGCUUAACAAAACGGCGUGCCUGAGAUACUUCUUAUCUAGGGACCGGGGGGCGUUAGGAGUAUUCUGGGGGGAGCGGUAAAAUGCUAUAAUCCUCAGAGGACUACCUGUGGCGAAGGCGCCUAACGAAAACGGGUCCGACGGUGAGGAACGAAAGCUAGGGGAGCAAAAGGGAUUAGAUUCGGAUGAUGCUGUCUGCUUUAAUUUAAAUUCUGAGUUUUGCAAAAAAUCUACUAUCAGAAAGAAAAUGAAAAGCAAUAAUGAGCAUCCAUCUGCUAAUUACCCCAGUAGUCCUAGCCGUAAACUCUGUGAACUAGAUGUUGCGUAU